rnacentral:rRNA from 1 species
AACGCUAGCGGCAGGCCUAAUACAUGCAAGUCGAACACGGUAAGGCUCCUUCGGGAGUACACGAGUGGCGCACGGGUGAGUAACGCGUAUGCAACCUACCUUGAACUGAGGGAUAGCCCAGAGAAAUCUGGAUUAAUACUUCAUAAUAAUAUAAAACGACAUCGUUUAAUAUUUAAAGCUCCGGCGGUUUAAGAUGGGCAUGCGUGACAUUAGUUAGUUGGUAAGGUAACGGCUUACCAAGACAGCGAUGUCUAGGGGUUCUGAGAGGAUUUUCCCCCACACUGGUACUGAGACACGGACCAGACUCCUACGGGAGGCAGCAGUAAGGAAUAUUGGGCAAUGGACGAAAGUCUGACCCAGCCAUGCCGCGUGCAGGAUGACAGCCCUAUGGGUCGUAAACUGCUUUUAUAUGGGAAGAAACUCCACUACGUGUAGUGGACUGACGGUACCAUACGAAUAAGGAUCGGCUAACUCCGUGCCAGCAGCCGCGGUAAUACGGAGGGUCCAAGCGUUAUCCGGAUUUAUUGGGUUUAAAGGGUGCGCAGGCGGCUUAUUAAGUCAGUGGUGGAAUCUCUCGGCUCAACCGAGAAACUGCCAUUGAAACUGAUAAGCUUGAGUGUAGAGACGAAGUAGGCGGAAUGUAGCAUGUAGCGGUGAAAUGCUUAGAUAUGCUACAGAACACCGAUUGCGAAGGCAGCUUACUAGACUAUUACUGACGCUAAUGCACGAAAGCGUGGGGAGCGAACAGGAUUAGAUACCCUGGUAGUCCACGCCGUAAACUAUGAUUACUCGAUGUUGGCGAUACACAGUCAGUGUCUAAGGGAAACCGAUAAGUAAUCCACCUGGGGAGUACGAUCGCAAGGUUGAAACUCAAAGGAAUUGACGGGGGCCCGCACAAGCGGAGGAGCAUGUGGUUUAAUUCGAUGAUACGCGAGGAACCUUACCUAGACUUAAAUGUAGAUUGCAUAGAGUAGAAAUAUUUCUUUCCUUCGGGACUCUUUGCAAGGUGCUGCAUGGUUGUCGUCAGCUCGUGCCGUGAGGUGUCGGGUUAAGUCCCAUAACGAGCGCAACCCCUAUUCUUAGUUGCCAGCGGGUAAUGCCGGGGACUCUAAGGAGACUGCCAGUGUAAACUGUGAGGAAGGUGGGGAUGACGUCAAAUCAGCACGGCCCUUAUGUCCAGGGCUACACACGUGUUACAAUGGCCGAUACAAAGGGCAGCUACCUGGUGACAGGAUGCUAAUCUCCAAAGUCGGUCUCAGUUCGGAUCGGAGUCUGCAACUCGACUCCGUGAAGUUGGAUUCGCUAGUAAUCGUAUAUCAGCAAUGAUACGGUGAAUACGUUCCCGGGCCUUGUACACACCGCCCGCAAACAAUGGAAGCUGGGGGUACCUAAAGUCCGUAACCAUUCAGGAGCGGCCUAGGGAAAGCUA